UACGAAGGGGGCUAGCGUUGUUCGGAAUUACUGGGCGUAAAGCGUGCGCAGGCGGCUUCUCAAGUCAGGGGUGAAAGCCCAGAGCUCAACUCUGGAAUUGCCUUUGAGACUGAGUGGCUUGAGUACGAGAGAGGUGAGUGGAAUUCCCAGUGUAGAGGUGAAAUUCGUAGAUAUUGGGAAGAACACCGGUGGCGAAGGCGGCUCACUGGCUCGUAACUGACGCUCAUGCACGACAGGGUGGGGAUCAAACAGG
rnacentral:rRNA from 1 species